rnacentral:rRNA from 1 species
GUGGGGAAUUUUGGACAAUGGGCGAAAGCCUGAUCCAGCCAUGCCGCGUGCAGGAUGAAGGCCUUCGGGUUGUAAACUGCUUUUGUACGGAACGAAAAGACUCCUUCUAAUAAAGGGGGUCCAUGACGGUACCGUAAGAAUAAGCACCGGCUAACUACGUGCCAGCAGCCGCGGUAAUACGUAGGGUGCAAGCGUUAAUCGGAAUUACUGGACGUAAAGCGUGUGCAGGCGGUUAUAUAAGACAGAUGUGAAAUCCCCGGGCUCAACCUGGGAACUGCAUUUGUGACUGUAUAGCUAGAGUACAGUAGAGGGGGAUGGAAUUCCGCGUGUAGCAGUGAAAUGCGUAGAUAUGCGGAGGAACACCGAUGGCGAAGGCAAUCCCCUGGACCUGUACUGACGCUCAUGCACGAAAGCGUGGGGAGCAAACAGGAUUAGAAACCCUGGUAGUCC